rnacentral:sRNA from 1 species
CCUCUGGAGUGUCACAAUAAACGAUAUUAGGUUCGCCGAGGUCGGACACGUUGAAUGAGGAA